rnacentral:rRNA from 1 species
AUUGAACGCUGGCGGCAUGCUUUACACAUGCAAGUCGAACGGCUCUUCGGAGCGGCAGACGGGAGAGUAACACGUGGGAACGUACCCUUUGGUUCGGAACAACCCAGGGAAACUUGGGCUAAUACCGGAUAAGCCCUUACGGGGAAAGAUUUAUCGCUGAAGGAUCGGCCCGCGUCUGAUUAGCUAGUUGGUGGGGUAACGGCCCACCAAGGCGACGAUCAGUAGCUGGUCUGAGAGGAUGAUCAGCCUCACUGGGACUGAGACACGGCCCAGACUCCUACGGGAGGCAGCAGUGGGGAAUAUUGGACAAUGGGCGCAAGCCUGAUCCGGCCAUGCCGCGUGGGUGAUGAAGGCCCUAGGGUUGUAAAGCCCUUUCGGCGGGGAAGAUAAUGACGGUACCCGCAGAAGAAGCCCCGGCUAACUUCGUGCCAGCCGCCGCCGUAAGAC